CGGGGAAUUUUGUACAAUGGGGGGAACCUUGCUGCAGCGACGCCGCGUGAGGGAUGGAGGCCUUCGGGUGGUGAACCUCUUCCGUUCGUGUGCAAGCCGCUACUUGGGUAGUGGUGAGUGUAGCGGGUAAAGAAGCGCCGGCUAACUACGUGCCAGCAGCCGCGGUACUACGUAGGGCGCGAGCGUUGUCCGGACUUAUUGGGCGUAAAGGGCUUGUAGGCGGUUUGUCGCGGCUGUGGUGUAAUCCUCUGUCUUAACUGGGGGUGUGCGGUGGGUACGGGCAGGCUUGGGUGCGGUAGGGGAGGUUGGAAUUCGUGGUGUAGCGGUAGACUGCGCAGAUAGCAGGAGGAACACCGGUGGAGGAGGCGGGUCUCUGGGCCGUUACUGACGCUGAGGAGCGGAAGCGUGGGGAACGAACAGG
rnacentral:rRNA from 1 species